rnacentral:piRNA from 1 species
ACAAGGCUCGAAGAAAAAGAUUG